rnacentral:rRNA from 1 species
UACAGAGGUCUCAAGCGUUGUUCGGAUUCAUUGGGCGUAAAGGGUGCGUAGGCGGCGCGGUAAGUCGGGUGUGAAAUCUCGGAGCUUAACUCCGAAACUGCAUUCGAUACUGCCGUGCUUGAGGACUGGAGAGGAGACUGGAAUUUACGGUGUAGCGGUGAAAUGCGUAGAUAUCGUAAGGAAGACCAGUGGCGAAGGCGGCUUCCUGGACCGAUUACUGACGCUGAGGCGCGAAAGCUAGGGGAGCAAACGGG